rnacentral:rRNA from 2 species
GAUGAACGCUGGCGGCGUGCCUAAUACAUGCAAGUCGAACGAGUUCUCGUUGAUGAUCGGUGCUUGCACCGAGAUUCAACAUGGAACGAGUGGCGGACGGGUGAGUAACACGUGGGUAACCUGCCCUUAAGUGGGGGAUAACAUUUGGAAACAGAUGCUAAUACCGCAUAGAUCAAAGAACCGCAUGGUUCUUGGCUGAAAGAUGGCGUAAGCUAUCGCUUUUGGAUGGACCCGCGGCGUAUUAGCUAGUUGGUGAGGUAAUGGCUCACCAAGGCGAUGAUACGUAGCCGAACUGAGAGGUUGAUCGGCCACAUUGGGACUGAGACACGGCCCAAACUCCUACGGGAGGCAGCAGUAGGGAAUCUUCCACAAUGGACGCAAGUCUGAUGGAGCAACGCCGCGUGAGUGAAGAAGGCUUUCGGGUCGUAAAACUCUGUUGUUGGAGAAGAAGGUCGGCAGAGUAA